rnacentral:sRNA from 1 species
GCUGGGUGUGGUGGUGCAUACCUGUAGUCCCAGCCAUAUGGGAGGCUGAGGCAGGAGUUCACAAGUUUGAGGUCAGUCUUGGCAACAUUAGCAAGACUCUGUCCUCUGUCUCAA